UUGGAGGGCAAGUCUGGUGCCAGCAGCCGCGGUAAUUCCAGCUCCAAUAGCAUAUAUUAAAGUUGCUGCAGUUAAAAAGCUCGUAGUUGAAUUUCGGGACCAUCAUGUUGGUCGUGCCUCGGUACGUACUGGCAUUGUUGGUUUCUCCCUUCUGACGAACCAUGAUGUCAUUUAUUUGGUGUUGUGGGAAAUCAGGACUGUUACUUUGAAAAAAUUAGAGUGUUUAAAGCAGGCUCACGCUUGAAUACAUUAGCAUGGAAUAAUGAAAUAGGACGUUUGAUUCUAUUUUGUUGGUUUCUAGGAUCGAUGUAAUGAUUAAUAGGGAUAGUUGGGGGCAUUAGUAUUCAAUUGUCAGAGGUGAAAUUCUUGGAUUUAUUGAAGACUAACUACUGCGAAAGCAUUUGCCAAGGAUGUUUUCAUUAAUCAAGAACGAAAGUUAGGGGAUCGAAGACGAUCAGAUACCGUCGUAGUCUUAACCAUAAACUAUGCCGACUAGGGAUCGGAUGAUGUUAAUUUUUUAAUGACUCAUUCGGCGCCUUACGGGAAAC
rnacentral:rRNA from 1 species